ACGCCGCACGCGCCCUUCCGCGCCCUCGCCCGGUCGCGCGUGGGCUUUGCGAGCGCCCGGGCGCUCGAGCUUCGGCUGGGUGGGGCUUCCUGGGCGGAGGCCGCUGCCUCUGGGCGGUCCCGGGUCCCGGCUUGCUUGACCUGGUUUUCAAGCCGCUGCCUCGGUCCCUCGCGCUCUUAAGGGUUGGGACAGUGGGGGAGGCCUGAGGAAGCGCGCGCGGGACCAGGCCGUGGGGCCGAGGCGGCCUCUGGGCCCGGCCCCGCCCAGUCUCCACCCAAAGCGGGCCCGACCCGCCCUCCGAGCAUAGCUCAGCGGCCCGCCACGGAGUAAGGCCCGCUGAGGCCCGGCGCUCUCCUAGCUCUUCGGACACAGUCCAGCGCCCAAGAGCGACGGCGAGAAGGGCUGUCCUUGCAUGGCGGCUUGUGGCGAUCUCUGCCCUAGAAGAGGGAGAAGGCCAGCUCUUGGGUUCCCCAAGCCGCUUCUGCCCGGAGAGACUGCAGAAGACCAGACUUGACGCUUUUUCACGACCACAGCAGUCUUCUUUUGCCUUAAAGGAUUCUCUCUUUGACGCCAUGUAAUUCUGUAUUUGAGUGCAUGUCUCGUCUUUGCCCUAGAGCUGUUCCCUAUGGGCGGGAUCCUUCAGUCUCUCCCCCUCCCCGGGAGGCGCCUGUGGACCCUCCCCAACUUGCGGGAAAGUUGACAGAGGGCUGACAGCAAGAUGUUCUCGUGGAUCCGGGAGGAGCGCCUUUUGGUACUUAAUGGAAUAUGACUCAGGACUGUAUUCCCAACGCCCUUACUCAGCGCCUGGGGAGCAAUUUCUUCUCCAUCCAACUGUUCUAUUGCGAUAAUGCUGGCCCAGUUUUAACAGAUAAUUUUGUUUCUUUCCUGGAAGAAAUAGAACCUGGAUUUUUAAAAUAUAAAAUCCCCAGAGCUCUCUGCUGUGGCCUGGGAAAGCAGUAGAAGAUGGCCCAAGUCCUUGGGCCCCUGCACCCACAUGGGAGACCCGGAAGAAGCUCCUGGUCCCUGGCUUCAAAUCCGCGCAGUUCCGGUCAUUGCAGCCACUUGGAGAGUGAACCAGCAGAUGGAAGACUGACCUCUCUCUGCCUUUCCUUCUCUCCUCUGUGUAACUCUGCCUUUAAAAUAAAUAAAUAAAUAAAUCUUUUAAAAAAAAAAAAUGGAGUUGCAGGGAUACAAACCUGCGCCUAUAUGGAAAGCCAACAUCACGGGCUAUAGCUUUAGCUGAAAUGCCACAACACCAGCCCCUAAAAUCUAUAGAUUUUUAGAUGUUGACAAGUAAAUCAGCAAGUGAAUCAGGUGUUUUUAAACUUCAUGAGUUAAUUAAACCACAUGUGUAGGCUGUUUAUAACAUUUAGAGACAGGAUAAUGGAAGUCUAGUGCUGCUGAAAGAUACGGUAAAUUGGAGCAGGAGACAUGACUAUUGGAUCGAUCAACUAGAAGUAACUGGAGAAUGUCAUUGGUGACACUGGCUUGAUUCGUGUGGGUGAAUCAGGGGUGUAGACCUGUCAGAAUGGGUUGAAGCAUGUGAGAGUAAGGAAAUAGAGACAUCAUAUGUGGCAGCUUGAGAACAGUUUGGCUGCCAAGGGAGCAGAGAAAUUUAGGAAUACGCCUAGGAAGAUGUGUGGUCAAGGCAGGAGAUAUUUUAAAUAAGAUGAUGGAAGUGGAUGUAUAGCCUGUGGUUAAGAUUCCCAUGGCCCGCGCCACAGCUCAAUAGGCUAAUCCUCUGCCUGCGGUGCAGGCAUCCUGGGUUCUAGUCCCGGUCGGGGUGCCGGAUUCUGUCCCGGUUGCCCCUCUUCCAGUCCAGCUCUCUGCUGUGGCCCAGGAGUGCAGUGGAGGAUGGCCCAAGUGCUUGGGCCCUGCACCCACAUGGGAGACCAGGAGAAGCACCUGGCUCCUGGCUCUGGAUCAGCGCGGUGCACUGGCCGCAGCGCGCUGUUCACGGCGGCCAUUGGAGGGUGAACCAACAACGGCAAAGGAAGACCUUUCUCUCUGUCUCUCUCUCUCACAAUGCCUGGAUUCAGUUCCUGGCUCUGGCUCCUAACUCCAGCUUCUUUCCACUGUAGACCCUGGGAGACAGCAGUGGUUGGAUUCCUGCCACUCACAUGAGAGACAUAGAUUGAGUUCUUGGUUUCUGACUCCAAUCCAAUAUAGUCCCAUCCAUUGAGGAGGGCAUUUGGGGAUGAGAGGUGCUGUCUCUGCCUCUCAAAUAAAAAAAAAAUUUAAUUAUGUUAAAGAUGAGUGGGGGCUGGCACUGGGGAGGAGCUGUUAAAGCCACCGCCUGUGACGCAAGUAUCCCAUAGGCACUGACUCAAGUCCUGGCUUCUCCACUUCUGAUCCAGCUCCCUGCUGUUGGCCUAGGAAAGCAGUAGAAGAUGACUCAAGUGCUUGGGCUGCUGCACCUAGGAGACCUGGAAGAAUCUCCUGGCUCCUGGCUUCAGACUGGCCCAGCAUUGGCAGUUGAGGCCAUCUGGGGAUUGAGCCAGCAGAUGGAAGAUCUCUCUCUCUCUCAAAUUAGGGAAAAAAAAAAAAAAGUUCGGAACCUGUUUAUUCACCAUUGAGAGCAACAUGGUGGAAAUGGAAGACCGGUGAUACAGGGGAGAGAUGACUUGUUUGACCUGGCUGGGAGUGAGAUCCACGGGAGGAUGUAAGGAGAUGGAGGAUGCUUCCAGUAAUAAUAUGGGUAAUGAGGGUAAGCCCUGCCUGCAACACUGGCAUCCCAUAUUGGAGUGCGGUUUGAGUCGUGGUUGCUGUGUUUCCAAUCCAGCUCCCUGCUAUUGCAACUGGGAAAGCAGCAGAAGAUGGCCCAAAUGCUUGGCACCUGCCACUCAUAUGGGAGACUGGCUUCAACCCAGAUUAACUCUGGCAUUGCAGCCAUUUGGGGAGUGAACCAAAAUGUGGAAGAUCUCUUUCUAUUCUUCUCUCUGUCACUCUGUCUUUCAAAUAAAUCUUUAAAAUAUAUAUACAUAUACAGAUAUAUGUAUAUACCCAUAUGUGAAGGUAAAGAUAGAUGCAAAUGCAGGGAAGUGAGAAAACAAAUAAUCAGUGAUACCUCCUUGGUGGCACUGGGUGGCCAUUUGAAGAGUGUGAUCAGGAUUUUAAAGUUAAGCCUGGUGGGCCGGCACCGCGGCUCAAUGGGCUAAUCCUCCACCUGCGGCGCCGGCACACCGGGUUCUAGUCCCGGUUGGGGUGCCGGAUUCUGUCCCGGUUGCCCCUCUUCCAGUCCAGCUCUCUGCUGUGGCCCGGGAGGGCAGUGGAGGAUGGCCCAAGUGCUUGGGCCCUGCACCUGCCUCUGAAUAGUUGCAUUUUACACCAUCACCUCAAAUAGCUGCUGGUAUACUUAGGACCUUAGAUACUGGAAACAACAAAGCUGACUUACAUUUAAAUCCUUAACUUCUUUUUCUUCCUAGUACCUUUAAUAAUCUAAUUAAUUCACUUCCUCCUAAGUCUUUACCUCAGAUCAUCUUUUUUUUUUAGCUUAAGAUAAACUAUGGGACUGGCAUGUGGCACAGCAGACAAAGCCGCCACCUGAGUCACUGGCAUCCCAUACAGGCACUAGUCUACUUCCUAUUCACCUCCCUGCUACUGGCCUGGGAAAAGCAGGGGAAGAUGGCCCAAAUCCUUGGGCCCCUGCAAUCCACGUGAGAAACACAGAUGAAACUCCUAGCUUUGGCCUGGCCCAGCCCUGGCCAUUGUGGCCAUCUGGGGAAUGAAUCGACGGAUUCUCUCUGUCUCUCCCUCUGUCACUGUAACUUUUUCAAGUAAAUAAAUACAUCUUUAAAAAAUAAAUAAACUACAAGAACAUUUUUAAAAGCUGUAGUCUGGACAAAUAUGAGGGGACUUCAAAUAGUUCACAGAAUUUAAAGUGUGCAUUUACUUGGGUACCAAAAAAGUUUUGAAGUCCAUGAAUAGUUUUUUCAUAAUAUGAAUUUUCCAUGUAUUUUGAUAAAAUUUUUUAAAAGAUUUAUUUAUUGAUUUGAAAGAGUUACACGGAGAGAGAACGAGAGGCAGAGAGAGGGAGAAGUCCUCUAUCCGCUGUUCACUCUCCAGUUGGCAACAAUGGCCAGAGCUGCGCCGAUCCUAAGAUGGGAGCCAGGAGCUUCUUUCGGAUCUCCCAGGCAUGUGCAGGGGCCCAGGCCAUAGCAGAGAGCUGGAUUGGAAGUGGAGCAGCCAGGACUCCAAUGAGCACCCAUAUGGGAUGCUGGCACUGCAGGCAGUGGCUUUACCCACUAUGCCACAGUGCAGGCCCCUUGAUAAAAGUUUUUACAGGUGGCCAGCAUUGUAGCAAAAUGGGUUAAGCCGCUGCUUGUGAUGCUGGCAUCCCAUAUGUACACUAGUUCGAAUCCUGGCUGCUCUGUUUCCAAUCCAGCUCCCUGCUAAUGUGCCUGGGAAAGAGGCAGAGAUGGUCCAAGUCUUUGGACCCCUGCCCCCGUGUGGGAGGCCAGAAGGAAGCUCCUGACUUAGGCCUGGCCCAGCCCCAGCUGUUAUAACCACUUGGGGAGUGAAUUCUGUCUCUCACUCUGUCACUCUGUAACUCUUUCAAAUAAAUAGAUCUCUUUAUUUAAAAAGUUUUUACACUAAAGUAAACAAGUACUUUUAAAUUUCAUUUUUUCAUGAUCUUUUUGAAGUACCCCUGUAUAAGGUAGUGUGUUUAGGGAGAAAAGACCUCAAGUAUAUGUACAACAAAUGACCUCCGAGGUACCCGUUAGAAGCUAGGAAUGGAGUCCAAGUGGCCUCCGAGCCCAUUUUCCCAAGACAAGGAUCCUGUGCUGCUGUGACACAGGGCUGAGAAAGAGCUGAGAAUCACUAGGAGGAACAAAAGGGAGUAUUUUCUUCUCUUGGUAGAAAUCGUGAUGUGUCCUACUUCAUGGAAUCAGCUCCAAGAGCCAAGGAGUGGAAAGCCAAGCCAGCAGGGUAGGAUGUUUCAAGCUGGAAAGAGACCAGCUGAGAGGGAAUUGUAACCUGAUGAGAGUCUGCAUAAGCCUGGACUGUUAAAAAUAACGGCAGGUUUGUUCCCUGGAGUAGUAACCCAGACGGUCCCACCCAUGAGAACUGGGGGCCCUGCUCUGUGAUUUAUAAAGGGUAGUUUUAGAUCAUUAUCCCAAGAGGUGGAACAAGCUAAAAAUAUGCAUAGGUUUAGUGUUGGCAAGGUUGUUGUGCAAGACAGAAAGAUUACAAGAAUACCCCCUCAUUUUUGAGGAUAUGAGCAAGGGUUCUUCCCACAACUGGCUCUUGGGUUUAUGGUCCACAGGAAUGUUCAGGGUGUUAGCAGGAGGUUGUCUGGCUCAACACAUGGCAGUAGAGUCACCACAUCAGGAUCCAGCCUGCAACUUCACAGGUACAACCAGAAACUCAGCGGGGUGUAUACCCUGAGAGUGAAUUCCUUCCUCAGGAGGUUGCCAGGUGCACAGGAGCUUAACGGAGAAGCAGAGUGCCACUUUAUUAACUGGCAAGUGGACCAGUGUCCUCAUGCUGGCACAAAGCAUGUUGUUUCCCUAUAGGAGAGCAUCCUGGGAAGCCAAGUUACUAGAAGGCUUUUGAUGAACAGUUAAUUAGAUUAAGAGGCAUUAGUUAUAUAACUCAAUGUUUCAUAUCAUCCUCCGGUGGCUGGAGCCAGAUUGUCCUGGUUUCAGAUCUUGUCUUGGCUUCCUAUUAGCUGUGUGAUCUCAGGUGAAUUAGUAACAAUCCAACUAGAGGUUUCUCCUCUGUAAGAUGAGAUGAUAAUUGUUCUUGACACAGUAGUGAGGAUUAAACAAGAAAAUGCCUGGAAAGCUUUUGGAAUAGUUCUAGCCACCAACAAUUCAUACAAAAAAUGUAAACUAUUAUUAUUCCUUCUUUAUUUUUGUGCUUCUGUUACCUAGCCACAUUCCCAACUCCUGCCUUCGGACAGACGUGAUCGCUUUUAAAAAUUUUUAUCUUUUUGUUCCUGCCCACUUUGGAGAAGGGCCCGAAGUUACACAUGAAUACGCCUGCUGUACCUACUGAGGACAUGUGUGACUUGUGAUUCCGUUUAGCAGACACUGAGUGCCUACUGUGUGCAGUUCUCUGUACUGGGCACUGGACAUCCAGAGAUGUGUUUCCUCCCUUUGAACUCAAAGGUUAACUUUUAAAGUUGGUUAAAAACAACCAAAGCAGUAAAGUGAUAAUUGUUGUAACAGACAGACAAGAGCUCACAGAUAAAGGAGCAAGUCAUUCUCCAAGAGUAUAUUAUUUUAGUUGACUCUAAAGGAUUAAAAAGGCAUUAACAACAACAACAACAAAGGCAUUAGCAAGUGAGGCACAGGUGUGUAAGGUGAAGAACCAUGAUCAAGGACGUAAAAGUGCACUAGAGUGUUUGGCAGCAAAUCAUCCCACAGCACUGGACUGGGCGGAGCAGCGAUGCGAAACCUCACGGACAUUUGGAAAGCUUUCACUCACUGCCGGCAUCACCCGCCAGGGCCAGCCAGUUUCUCCUAACAUUUUAAGGACUUGCCAGACCACAGGGAUUUUUUCCCUUAUUAAAGUCGGCUUUCUUCAAACCCAUGUGGGAGCCAUGUUUAUUUUUUUACCUCAUCUCAAAUGACUGCCCUCAGAAAUGUAAAGGACUUUCCUUAGACCUCCAUCUCACACUGGGGAAGGAAGUUGGUUAGUUUUGUUGCUGUGCUCUCCCCUGCAUCGAUCCUUGAAUCAUCUGUCUCAGCUGUACAUGUCUACUUUUUCAAGUAAUGCUCACAGCUCUGUUGGAUGAGCCAGGCACAGUUCUGACCUAAAUUCUAAAUUCAAGAAUGCUCAGGGACAUCCAGGAACUUGACCUGAGGGCUCAGGUCUUCUGGCCCCACCCUCUCCCUGCUCUGCUUUGGCAGCUGGAGCUCCUCCAUCUGUCAGAUAUAUUUCCAUUUCUAUAGGAAUCCUCUGGAGGUGAUGCUGGGGUUCCCAGGCUGCCUUGGAAGGGGCAGGGAGGUCUACCGUGUGAGCUGUGGGCCUCCCUGCUCCCUGACCGCUCCUGCUUCUCCCAGCUGUAUGUGGUUAUAAUUGGCUUAGCAGGAAGAAAGAUUUCAGUUGCUAAACAAGGUGGACACUCUUGCCUUCACCCAAAGGAAAGGCUUUGAUGCAAAGAGGACAAAGGUUUUUAAGAUAACUUAUUUUUUUUCUGAAUUAGAUGUUUUUAAAUGUUUACUUAUUUGAAAGGCAGAUAAAGAUCAUCCAUCCCUUGGUUCACUUCUCAAAUGCCUGCAACAGCCAGGGCUGGGCCAAGAGGAAGCCAGGAGCCCAGAAUUCCAGGUCUCCCACAUGUAUUUGAUAGCAGGAAGCUGGACUCAGAAGCAGAGCCAGGACUUGAACUCAAGCACUCUGAUAUGAUGUGCUGGCAUCUUAACCUCUAUACCAACAGCCAUGCAUGUGAGGUGAUGACUCACUAAUCUAUAAGCAUGUUCUGAAUGUCUGCUAAGGAUGCUGGUUUAUGCUCAAUGCUGGGUGACGCUGGAGAUAGAUGAUACCCGUAGCCCUUGAGUGACUUAUAUUUUAUCUUUUACUAGUGUGGAGAAACCAUACUAAACUUCCUGAGCAUUAGCAGGUAAGUCAAGGAUGACAAGGCAAGUGCAAAGAUGGAGAAUACAGGUGUGAGAGGAGCAGAGCAGCCUCUGGACAUCACAGUAGUCGUGGAAGCUUCGUAGUAUAGCAAGGAUGACUCAGACUCUGCUGCCUUCCCCAACCUGUCUCUCCCUGCUCCAGACCUAUAUAACCAGCUUCUUUCUGGACACGUCCUCUUGGAUAGCUCCCAGGCCACCCUCACCACUCACUUCUCAACCUGCCUCUUUAGGUCUCUCCUCUUCACGAAUGAUACCACCAUCCAUCACCCAGGCCAGCAGCCCUGGCUUCAUUCUCUCACCUGCUCUGUCCUAUCAAUCACCAACCCUGUCCAUUCUGCCUUUGGAACGUCUGUCCACUCUAACUUCCUCUCCUUCCCACUGCCCAGCUCUGGCCCAAGUCACUAUUGUUUUUCUUGACAAGAGCUGCUGACUGCACUACCUCCUGCCUCCUCCCUCCACACACCUGCCAAAGUGAUCUGCCCAAAGCACAGAUGUCAUCACCAAAUUCCUCUGCUUCAAGACCCCUGGAUGCUCCCCAGUAUCCUGGGGGUAAAUUCCAAACUCCUUCGCCAUUCCGCCAUUCCGACAUUCCGCAGGGCACCACGCCCAUCCUCCCCCACCCCCACUAUGACCAAGCCCCCUGCUUACCUAUUCACGCUCGGGUCUAAUGGCCCCCUCAGGCCCCUGUGAGUUCUUUCUGCUCCAGUAUUCUAACCUCCCUCCCCUUGUCCCCGCUCAGGCUGUGUUCCGUCUGAAGAGCUCUGCCCCAUGGAGGACUUAGGGGAAGUGCUUUGUGCUUCCAGGCCUCUCCUGUAUUGACUCCAGAGUACUUCCACCUGGAAAAGUUGGGGAGGGGGUGGCAUUUGACCUAGUGAUUAAGAGGCUCCACAUCCGGUUUUUGAGUGCCUGGUUUGAUUCCUGGCUCUGGCUCCCUAUUCCAGCUUCCAGCCAGUGUGGACCCUGGGAGGUAGUGGUGAUGGCUCAAGUAGUUGGGUCCCUGCCACCCAUGUGGGAGACUUAGACUGAGUUCCUGGCUUUGAGUCCAACCUGGCCCAGCCCCAGCCAUUACAGACAUUUGGGGAGUAAACCAGCGGAUGGGAGCGUUUUCUGCUUCUGUGUCUAGCUCUCACAUAAAUAAAUAAAAAUUGAGGAAAAAAAGAGAACUGUUCAGAGUAGGCAACUCUGUAGAGACAGAAGGUAGAUUUGUGGCUUUUUAGAGUGGGGGAAGGGGGAGAAAGCAGGGGCCCAGGGUGAUGGCUGAGGGCUAAGGGGGUGGAUGGUUUCAUUUUGGGUUGAUGAAAAUAUUCUGAAACUAUGGUGAUGGUUAUAUAUUCUGGAAAUGUACAAAAAGGCAUUGAGUUACGCACUUCAAAUAAUUAAAUCCCAUGGUAUGUAGACUAAAUCUCAAUAAAGCUGUUUUUUAAAAAGAAAACAAUUCGGAGCAAGUUCCACACAGGGAAGUCACCCAUUGUCUUCUCCAGAUGUUCAGGCAGGUAGACUAGUCAGCCAAUACUCAAACUUACAGAUAAGGGUACAGACAACUAAGUGAUUGCAACAGGGUGUUGCUGUGGUUCUACUAGGGCAGGUGCAGUCUCCUGUCACAGAAGUGAGUAGAGGCCCAACUUCCUAAAGAAAUUUGUAAUGUUUAGGCCAAAGUCUAUCGGUGAGCAGACAAGAUCAGGGUGACAGAGGGGUGGGGCUGGUGCACCGCAGAGGGUGCUGUCCCAGCUCCAGGAAUAAAUGAGCCCAGCAAGUGAUCCCGGAAGUUCAGUCGCAGAAAUGACACUGGAGAGAAUAGAUUCAAAGUGAGCCAGGGGGAGCAGGCUGGGCGUUUUACUAAGACACAGAAAAGGAGCCUGCAGUGGUAGGCUUGUGUUCUAGAAAUCACUCUGACUGCAUCGUGGAGAACGAGUGGAAGAGGGGCAGGACUAGAAGCAGAGAGCCUGCGAGGGGGCAGUUUUAGUGUCUAGGUGAGAGGUUAACGACUCUUGAAACUGAGUCAGGCCAGUGGGCCUAAAGAGAAGUAGGCAGGGGUGGGCAUUUAGUGCAGCAGUUAAGAUGCCAGGUGGGCCACCUGCUUCCUAUGUUGGAGUGGCUGGUUCAAGUCCCAGUUCCUCCAUUUCUGAUCCAGCUUUCUGCUAAUGUGUACCCUUAGGGCCCGGCAUUGUGGCACAGUGGGUUAGGCCACCACCUGCAAUGCUGGCAUCCCAUAUGAGCGCUGGUUUGAGUCGCAGCGGCUCCAUUUCUUUUAUUUAUUUAUUUAUUUAUUUGAGAGUCAGAGAGGGGAAGACAGAAAGAUCUUCCAUCCACUGGCUCACUCCCCAGUUGGCCAUAAUGGCCAGGUUGAAACUGGGAGUUUCAGCCCAGUCUCUGUGCUUUCCCAGGCCAUUAGCAGAGUGGGUCAGAAGUGGAGCAGCCAGGACACAAAUCUGUGCCCAUAUAGAAUGCCGGCAUCACAGACGGUGCCUUUACCUAAUAUCCCACAAUGCUGGCCCUCCAACUGCCUCAUUUCUGAUCCAGCUCCCUGCUAAUGGCCUGAGACAGCAGCAGAAGACGGCCGAAAUGUUUGGGCCCCUGCCAUGAGAGACUCAGAUGGAGUUGUAGGUUCCUGGCUUUGGCCUGGCCCAGCACUGGCAGUUGCAGCCAUUUGGGGAGUGAACCAGCAGAUGGAAGAUCUGUUUCUCACACUCUCUCUGUAGUUCUGCCUUUCAGACAAAUAAAUAUAUCUUUAAAAAAAAAAUUAGUGUGCACCCUAGAAGGCAGCAGAUGAUUGCUUAAGAACUUGGGACCCUGCUAUGCAUGAGGGAGGUCCAUAUUGAGAGGUGGGCACAGGCCCACGCCUGGCUGUUAUGGGCACUCGGGGAGUGAAUCAGCAGAUGGAAGACUCUGUCUGUCUCUCUGCCUUCUAAAUAAAGCGAAGGGGAAAAAGAGAGAGACAAGUAGGCAGAGGUUAGGAAUAUUUAGGACGUUUAGUUAGGGGAUUCUGAUGGCUAGGAAGAAGGGACAGCAAAGAGUCAAGGACAAGACCCGUUGUGUGGCUUGGGUAUCUGAGGAGUGAGUGACCCCAGGAGCCCUGGAGGUAAAUAUUUGAAGAUGUUGAGUUUGAUUUUGAGCAUGUUGAGUUUGAAAUGCUCCAGACCUUCACAAGAAGUGUCUAGUCAGCUGCGGUUAGAUGUGGGAUGCCAAGUGAGGUGAGGGCCGUGCAAAUGACUGACAUACAGCCCCAGCAGCACAGGGAAGCCAGGGGGUGGAUGAGGUGGCCCAGGGAGUGUGUUUCAAGGGGCGGGGGUGGGAGGUGUGGGUGGCAGACUGCUGUGGCAUAGCAGGUAAAGCCACCACCUGCAGUGCCAGCUCUCUGCCAUGGCCUGGGAAAGCAGUAGAAGAUGGCCCAAGUCCUUGGGCUCUUGCACCCAUGGGGGAGGCCUGGAAGAGUCUCCUGGCUCCUGGUUUUGGCCUGGCCCAGCUCUGGCCAUUGCAGCCAUUUGAGAAGUGGACCAGCAGAUGGAAAACACACACUCUCUCUCUGCCUCUGCCUCUCUGUAACUCUGCCUUUCAAAUACAUAAAUAAAACUUUAGAGAGAGAGAGAAAGGGAAGGGCCUUGAGUGGAGCCCUGUGGAGUGACAGCUGCUCUGUGCCAGCACUGACUGUCCAUGUGCCCUGGGUGUAUUUUGAAGACAAGUGAGACUUGACUCUUGACAUCAAACUCGGACUGAUGGCCAUCACCUCGUUGCAACCCUCUGAAACCAGAGGUGCUUUCUUGCAGGUCGGUGACGGUUUGUUGUUGUUGUUGUUGUUGUUUAUGAUUUAUUUAUUUAUUUGAAAGGUGGAGUUACAGAGGCAGAGGCACCGAGAGAGACAGAGUGGUCUCCUGUCCACUCGUUCACUCCCCAAAUGGCCACAACAGCCAGAGCUGAAUCCAUCUGAAACCAGGAACCUGGAGCUUCUUCCAAGUCUCCCACAUGGGUGCAGAGGCCCAAGAACUUGGGCCAUCCUCUACUGCUUUCCCAGGCCAUGGCAGAGGGCUGGAUCGGAAGAGGAGCAGCCAGGACUCGAACCUGCGUCAUAUGGUAUGCGGCACUGCUUUACCCACUACACCACAGUGCUGGCCCCAGUGAUGGUUUUUUACUUGUAAAGAUUUGUUUGUUUAUUUAUUUGAAAGGCAGAAUGACAGAAAGAGAAAGAGAGAGAGAAUCACUUCCCAAAUGCCCGCAACAGCCAGGACUGGGCCGGGCACAGGCUAGGAACCAGGAACUAUGUGAGUGGCAAGAACCAAACUACUUGGGCCAUCAUCUGCUGCCUUCCCAGGUGUAUUGGCAAUCCACCAUGACUUGAACCAGCACUCUGAUAUGGAAUGCGGGCCUCCCAAGCUAUGGCUUAACCUGUUGUGCCCCAGUGUGCCACAGGUGAUGGCCUCCUGUGCCUGCUGCACCACAGUGCCUGUCCCCAGUAAUGGUUCUAUUUCCUAAAGGAUAGAUUGUGCCUCCUUAGCAGUUUAAAUGUGGCACUGGAGUCCUUCCCAAGCACAUCCUCCAGUAUCACCCAGUCCCAGAAAAGCCACGCCUGGCAGCCAAGCCAAGAGCCUUCUGUCUGUGGGGGAUGGAUAACCUGGGUGGAAUAUUCCAGGGCUCUCUGGGAGGGAGGGAAAGGAGGGAGCAUGUCAUACGCCUGGGGUUCAGCAAAUUGUACCCACACGCCAGGCACAGAGACACACAAGGAAGGCACCCCCGCUCUGUGGGCGACACAAAGCAGCAGCCCUCGUCCCACGUGCCAACCCAUCUGCUCCUUUGCCUUCACAAACAUGCCUCUUUUCUUUCUUCUUCUAUUUUUGGUUCUCUGCAGCUCUGAGUCCACGAGGAAGAGAAGUGGGAGACAGGAGGAGAGCUCCUGCCCACCCUGGUCGUCACACCCACCCUUGCUUGAAGCUGACUACUUGUCUCCGGCCUCAAGACCCUCACUGAAGACUACAGAGUUAGGGGUUCUGACCCUCCCCGUUGUUAGAGAGCAAGGAUUUUCAGGACAGCCCCAGCUGACACUCCCACCCCCCCACCCCCAGCUGAGAUGGACAUUUCCCUCCCAUUUCUUGCCCAGGCCCUGCCCUCUCCUGCGGACUGAGCUGUGAGCUCAUGCUGGCCUGGUCACUCCAUCUGCACUUUCCCACGACCUGGUCAGCUGCCCCUGUUUACUUCCUCUUUCCCCACCACACAGGCUACUUUUUUUUUAUAUUAAUUAAUUUAUUUGAAAGGGGGGGGGUCUUCAAUUUGCUGGUUUACUCCCCAAAUGGUCGCAACAGCCAGAGCUGAGCUGAUCCAAAGCCAGGAGCCAGGAGCUUGUUCCGGGUCUCCCACGGGAGUGCAGAGGCCCAAGGACUCAGGCCAUCUUCUACUGCUUUCCUAGGCCAUAGCAGAGAGCUGGAUGGGAAGUGGAGCAGCCAGGACUCGAACUGGUGCCCCCAUGGGAGCCAGCACUGCAGGCGGCAGCUUCACCUGCUACACCACAGUGCUGGCCCCAUAGGCUACCCUCCUGAUGCAAGUGGAUAGUCCCGUCCUCCCAGUGGGCCUCUUGUGGGGCCUCUGGUCCGAGAGGCCCCCAAGGGUGGGUCUGUGAUUGCAACCCUCCUGCAGAGCCCGAUGGGACAGGCCCAAGCUGUGGGCAGUUUUGGGGGUUGGUUGGUCUCACUUGUUUGUCUUCUCUGCCCCAUGAGCUGCACCCUCCUGCCAGGGCCACCGUUCAUAGUUACAGAGGACACACAGAGCUGUGCCAGUGUGCUGAAGGCUGUCUGCUCACCCCCACCCCCACCCCCACCGGCCUGGAGUGAGCCACCUGCAUCCACAAGCAGGUGUUUCCUGUGCGCCUUCCUGUUGCCGUUUUUUUUUUUUUUUUCCCUUCUGCUCAGCGAGGCUUCCCCAGCAGGUGGUUGAGGCCCCAGCCAAACCCCUUGGUACACAGCCUCUUCAAAACGCUGGGGGGCAGGGCUCCCUGGGGAUCUGGGUCACCCACAAACACACACAUCCUCGCCGAGGCCUGGCGGACUGUUGUUCGGCACUCAUUGGCUCUUCCAGAGAGCAGGCACUCACAUCCCCAGCACAGUGCAUGUGCCGUCACGGUGCUGCGCCACACCACAGGCACAGGCUACCAGAGUGGGCUCAGUGAGCCGCGGCGGCGCUGCCGGAGCACCGAGCACUGGCUCCCUUGCCCCUGGGUAAUGAAGCUUGGGGAGAAGGGAAGGGGGGGCUGUGGGCGGGGCAUCUGCAGAGCAGGCCUGCCAUUCUGCAGUUGCACUCCACCCUCCGGUGCUCACACAGAGGAGUUAACACAUUCAUGUGCCUGGCCGCUCUGCGGCAGGUGGCCCUCUCCUGGGAGCCCUGCUUCCUGAGCAGCAGGGCUCUGCCUGCCCUGGGGAGCCACAGGUGGCAGCAAGUUUGUUAUUAGAGAAAGAGGCAGAUGGAGGAAGGAAGGGGCUUGCUGUCUUGGGUCACAGGGUGGCCCUGGGUCUCUGGCCUCCAGGCCUCAAUUCUUCCCCUCUGGGAGGACCUACCCAGCUUUGAGUAGGAAGCUGCCUGGGCUAAGAGGAGGACCAAGAGCCUGGCAUCCGCUGAUGUGGUUCUUCUGCCCCCUGGUGGCCACAAGCUCAGCUACACCAUGCAGUCUUUCUGACUGCUUUAACCCCUUGCCAGGACCAUUCCCAGGACAUGCCCUGUGGGGCUUCUCUGGGCCAGCUCUAUGGUUCAGCUGCACCCUGGGCCCAGUCUGCAGACUGACUCACCCCACCCCCACUUCCCCAA